rnacentral:lncRNA from 1 species
GUCUUUUUAGGGCCACACCCGCGGCAUAUGGAGGUUCCCAGGCUAGGGGUGGAAUCGGAGCUGUAGCCGCCGGCCUACACCACAGCCACAGCAACACCAGAUCUGAGCCGUGUCUGGGAACUACACCACAGCUCUCAGCAACGCCGGAUCCUUAACCUACUGAGCGAGACCAGGGAUCGAACCUGCAUCUUCACAGAGACAAUACCAGGUUCUUAACCCACUGAGCCGCAAUGGGAACUCCCAGAAGGGUUCUGAAGAAAGUAAGAGGGCUGGCUCUCUAUCACAGCUUCCACAGCAUCCACAGUAAGUGCGGCUCCAGGCUUCUCACUCACCAGUGCUUCCCUCCACAGGGCAUUGGCACGUCCCACUCCUUCCAGGGAAUGUUCUUCCAGGGUCUCUCGGGGGCCCCUUGCUGUCCUCCCCAAGUCUCAGGGGAUUUUCUCUGCCAUCCUGGCUAAGAAGGUGCCCUUCCUCCUGCCUGCUACUCUGUGUCAACUCAGGGCUCUUCUUCGGAACACUUACAAGGUGUAAAGGGGUGUGUGUGAGUGUGUGUGUGUGUCACCUGUGUCUGCUAUGAACUCAUAGCUCCCUGAGGCAGGUGGUGUCUACACUUCCCACCAAUCCACAGGCGAGUACUAGGUGCUUAGGAAACACUCGCUAAACAGAUGAAGGAGGCUGGUUUCUGCCUGGCUCUCAACUUGUACCUUUUCCACGGAGCCCUGUGGCCUGCCCAGAAUUCCCACGCAUCUGUCCACCUCUCUAUCCACCCACCUGCCCAUCAAACCCCCACUGAGGCCAGCUCUGUUCCUCGUGCCAGCCCAGGGCUCCCAGAGCCAGUAAGGCUGAUCUCUGCUUUCUCACCACCAAGAUUAACCCCCCCCACACACACCCCCUUGCCCUUCAGAGGUGGGAGAGAACUGCCCCCCCAUCCAUUUCCUUACAGCCUUGUGAGGUGAGUGACACUAGAAUUAUCAACAGAAGGGGAAACUGGAGUUCCCCUGUGGCACAGUAGCUUAAGGAUCUGGCAUUGCCGCUGCAGUGACUCGGGCUACUGCUGUGGUGCUGGUUCCAUCCCUGACCUGGGAACUUCCACAUGCGUGGG